rnacentral:rRNA from 1 species
ACUAAGCCAUGCGAGUCAUUGUAGCAAUACAAGGCAGACGGCUCAGUAACGCGUGGUCAAUCUACCCUGUUGACGGGGAUAACCUCGGGAAACUGAGAAUAAUACCCGAUAGAACAUUAUGCCUGGAAUGGUUUAUGUUUCAAAUGAUUUAUCGCAAUAGGAUGGGACUGCGGCCUAUCAGUUUGUUGGUGAGGUAAUGGCCCACCAAGACUAUUACAGGUACGGGCUCUGAGAGGAGUGGCCCGGAGAUGGGUACUGAGACACGGACCCAGGCCCUAUGGGGCGCAGCAGGCGAGAAAACUUUGCAAUGUGCGAAAGCACGACAAGGUUAAUCCGAGUGGUUUCUGCUAAAGAAACCUUUUGUCAGUCCUAGAAACACUGAUGAAUAAGGGGUAGGCAAGUUCUGGUGUCAGCCGCCGCGGUAAAACCAGCACCUCAAGUGGUCAGGAUGAUUAUUGGGCCUAAAGCAUCCGUAGCUUGUUUUGUAAGUUUUCGGUUAAAUCCAUACGCUUAACGUAUGGGCUGCCGGGAAUACUGCAUAACUAGGAAGUGGGAGAGGUAGACGGUACUCGGUAGGAAGGGGUAAAAUCCUUUGAUCUAUUGAUGACCACCUGUGGCGAAGGCGGUCUACCAGAACACGUUCGACGGUGAGGGAUGAAAGCUGGGGGAGCAAACCGGAUUAGAUACCCGGGUAGUCCCAGCUGUAAACUAUGCAAACUCAGUGAUGCAUUGGCUUGUGGCUAAUGCAGUGCUGCAGGGAAGCCGUUAAGUUUGCCGCCUGGGAAGUACGUACGCAAGUAUGAAACUUAAAGGAAUUGGCGGGGGAGCACCACAAGGGUGAAGCCUGCGGUUCAAUUGGAGUCAA